rnacentral:misc_RNA from 1 species
UAUGAAGAACGCAGCGAAAUGCGAUAAGUAGUGUGAAUUGCAGAAUUCAGUGAAUCAUCGAAUCUUUGAACGCACAUUGCGCCCUUUGGUAUUCCUUAGGGCAUGCCUGUUCGAGCGUCAUUUAAACCUUCAAGCUAAGCUUGGUGUUGGGUGACUGUCCGCUUCACGGCGGACUCGCCUCAAAAUUAUUGGCGGCCGGUACAUUGGCUUCGAGCGCAGCAGAAACGCGAACUCGGGCCCGUCGUAUUGGCUCCCAGAAGCUAUCUUCACAAUUUUGACCUCGGAUCAGGUAGGGAUACCCGCUGAACUUAAGCAUAUCAAUAAGCGGAGGA